GGUUCUGUGGUGUAGUUGGUUAUCACGUAUCCUUAACACGGAUAAGGUCCCCGGUUCGAUCCCGUGCAGAAUCA
rnacentral:tRNA from 1 species